ACUCAAAUGAAUUGACGGGGACCCGCACAAGCGGUGGAGCAUGUGGUUUAAUUCGACGCAACGCGAAGAACCUUACCAGGGCUUGACAUCCCGCGCAACUUUUGGAAACAAGAGGUUCUUGCCUUCGGGUAAGACGCGGAGACAGGUGGUGCAUGGUUGUCGUCAGCUCGUGUCGUGAGAUGUUGGGUUAAGUCCCGCAACGAGCGCAACCCCUAUUUUUAGUUGCCAGCAAGUCAAGUUGGGCACUCUAAAGAAACUGCCGGUGACAAACCGGAGGAAGGUGGGGAUGACGUCAAAUCAUCAUGCCCUUUAUGUCCUGGGCUACACACGUGCUACAAUGGCCGGUACAGAGGGUCGCGAAGGGGCGACCUGGAGCCAAUCCCAAAAAGCCGGUCUCAGUUCGGAUUGCAGGCUGCAACUCGCCUGCAUGAAGUCGGAAUCGCUAGUAAUCGCGAGUCAGCAUAUCGCGGUGAAUACGUUCCCGGGUCUUGCACACACCGCCCGU
rnacentral:rRNA from 1 species